GGAUUAGAUACCCUGGUAGUCCAUGCCGUAAACGGUGGGCGCUAGGUGUAGGGGCCUUUUGGGGUUUCUGUGCCGUAGCUAACGCAUUAAGCGCCCCGCCUGGGGAGUACGGCCGCAAGGCUAAAACUCAAAGGAAUUGACGGGGGCCCGCACAAGCGGCGGAGCAUGUGGAUUAAUUCGAUGCAACGCGAAGAACCUUACCUGGGCUUGACAUACACCGGAUCGCUGCAGAGAUGUAGUUUCCCUUGUGGCUGGUGUACAGGUGGUGCAUGGCUGUCGUCAGCUCGUGCCG
rnacentral:rRNA from 1 species